rnacentral:rRNA from 1 species
AGGGUGUAAACGCUGCAGACUUGGUGUUGGAAGCCCUUUGGGGGCAUUCAGUGCCGGAGAGAAGUUGUUAAGUCUGCUACUUGGGGAGUACGUCCGCAAGGAUGAAACUUAAAGGAAUUGGCGGGGGGAGCACCGCAACGGGAGGAGCGUGCGGUUUAAUUGGAUUCAACACCGUAAAACUCACCAGGGAAGACUGUUACAUGAAGGCCGAGAUGAAGACUCUGCUAGAUUUUUCAGAGAGGUGGUGCAUGGCGUCAGUGACU